rnacentral:tRNA from 1 species
GAGGGUCUAGCUCAGUGGUAGAGUGCAUGCUUAGCAUGCAUGAGGUCCUGGGUUCAAUCCCCAGAACUUCU